GAUGAACGCUGGCGGCGUGCCUAAUACAUGCAAGUCGAGCGAACAGACGAGGAGCUUGCUCCUCUGACGUUAGCGGCGGACGGGUGAGUAACACGUGGAUAACCUACCUAUAAGACUGGGAUAGCUUCGGGAAACCGGAGCUAAUACCGGAUAACAUGUUGAACCGCAUGGUUCAACAGUGAAAGACGGUUUUGCUGUCACUUAUAGAUGGAUCCGCGUCGCAUUAGCUAGUUGGUAAGGUAACGGCUUACCAAGGCAACGAUGCGUAGCCGACCUGAGAGGGUGAUCGGCCACACUGGAACUGAGACACGGUCCAGACUCCUACGGGAGGCAGCAGUAGGGAAUCUUCCGCAAUGGGCGAAAGCCUGACGGAGCAACGCCGCGUGAGUGAAGAAGGUCUUCGGAUCGUAAAACUCUGUUAUUAGGGAAGAACAAAUGUGUAAGUAACUAUGCACGUCUUGACGGUACCUAAUCAGAAAGCCACGGCUAACUACGUG
rnacentral:rRNA from 1 species